rnacentral:rRNA from 1 species
AUUGAACGCUGGCGGCAGGCCUAACACAUGCAAGUCGAGCGAGCGGCGGACGGGUGAGUAAUGUAUGGGGACUGCCCGAUAGAGGGGGAUAACUACUGGAAACGGUAGCUAAUACCGCAUACUAUCGGAUAACCCAUAUGGGAUUAGCUAGUAGGUGAGGUAAUGGCUCACCUAGGCUACGAUCCCUAGCUGGUCUGUGAGGAUGAUCAGCCACGCUGAGACUGGGACACGGCCCAGCCUCCUACGGAGGCAGCAGGGGGGAAUAUUGUACUAUGGGCGCAAUCCUGAUGCAGCCAUGCCGCGUGUAUGAAGAAGGCCCUAGGGUUGUAAAGUACUUUCAGUCGGGAGGCGUUACCGACAGAAGAAGCACCGGCUAACUCCGAGCCAGCAGCCGCGGUAAUUC